AUCUCAUUUCAUUUCAUCUCAUAUUUUUGAUAUCAUUUUUCAUCUCAUUUCAUCUCAAUUCAUCUCAUCAUUUCAUCUCCUCAUCUCAUCAUUUCCUCCUUUCAUUACAACAUUUCAUCUCAUUUCUUCUCAUCUCAUUUCAAUUUCAUUAUUUCAUCUCAUUUCAUUAUUUCACCUAAUUUCAUUAUUUCAUCUCAUCUCAUCUCAGUUCAUCUGAUCUCAUUUCAUCUCAGCAUUUCAAUUUCAUUAUUUCAUCUCAUUUCAUUAUUUCACCUAAUUUCAUUAUUUCAUCUCAUCUCAUCUCAGUUCAUCUGAUCUCAUUUCAUCUCAGCAUUUCA
rnacentral:lncRNA from 1 species